rnacentral:rRNA from 1 species
UACGAAGGGGGCUAGCGUUGCUCGGAAUCACUGGGCGUAAAGCGCACGUAGGCGGCUUCUUAAGUCAGGGGUGAAAUCCUGGAGCUCAACUCCAGAACUGCCUUUGAUACUGAAGAUCUUGAGUUCGGGAGAGGUGAGUGGAACUGCGAGUGUAGAGGUGAAAUUCGUAGAUAUUCGCAAGAACACCAGUGGCGAAGGCGGCUCACUGGCCCGAUACUGACGCUGAUGCACGAAAGCGUGGGGAGCAAACAGG